GUUGGGUGUAGUCGCGCACACCUGUAAUCCCGGCAGCUCCUGAGGCUGAGGCAGGAGGAUCCUGAGUUCAAAGCCAGCCUCUGCAAAAGUGAGGUGCUAAGCAACUCAGUGAGACCCUGUCUCUA
rnacentral:sRNA from 1 species